rnacentral:rRNA from 1 species
CCUACGGGAGGCAGCAGUGGGGAAUUUUGGACAAUGGGCGAAAGCCUGAUCCAGCAAUGCCGCGUGUGUGAAGAAGGCCUUCGGGUUGUAAAGCACUUUUGUUCGGGAAGAAAAGGUUUUGGCUAAUAUCCGAAACUGAUGACGGUACCGGAAGAAUAAGCACCGGCUAACUACGUGCCAGCAGCCGCGGUAAUACGUAUGGUGCAAGCGUUAAUCGGAAUUACUGGGCGUAAAGCGUGCGCAGGCGGUUUGUUAAGACAGAUGUGAAAUCCCCGGGCUCAACCUGGGAACUGCAUUUGUGACUGGCAAGCUAGAGUAUGGCAGAGGGGGGUGGAAUUCCGCGUGUAGCAGUGAAAUGCGUAGAUAUGCGGAGGAACACCGAUGGCGAAGGCAGCCCCCUGGGCCAAUACUGACGCUCAUGCACGAAAGCGUGGGGAGCAAACAGGAUUAGAUACCCUGGUAGUCCACGCCCUAAACGAUGUCAACUAGUUGUGGGAUUCAUUUCCUAGUACGUAGCUAACGCGUGAGUUGACCGCGUGGGGAGGUACGGUCGUCGAGAGUUAAACGUUACGUAAGUUAAGUUAGUAGNGNGAGAGNGCGACGGACGACGACGAGGAGGAGG